rnacentral:tRNA from 1 species
GCAUUGGUGUUUCAAUAGUAAAAUUCUGGCCUUUUAGACGAGAGACCCUGGUUCGAUUCCCGGCCAACGCA